rnacentral:rRNA from 1 species
UACGGAGGGAGCUAGCGUUGUUCGGAUAUACUGGGCGUAAAGCGCACGUAGGCGGCGCAGCAAGUCAGGGGUGAAAUCCCGGAGCUCAACUCCGGAACUGCCUUUGAGACUGCAGUGCUAGAAUCCUGGAGAGGCGAGUGGAAUUCCGAGUGUAGAGGUGAAAUUCGUAGAUAUUCGGAAGAACACCAGUGGCGAAGGCGACUCGCUGGACAGGUAUUGACGCUGAGGUGCGAAAGCGUGGGGAGCAAACAGG